UAUUUUAAAGAGAGUUUGAUCCUGGCUCAGGACGAACGCUGGCGGCGUGCCUAAUACAUGCAAGUCGAACGAACGGAGGAAGAGCUUGCUCUUCCAAAGUUAGUGGCGGACGGGUGAGUAACACGUGGGCAACCUGCC
rnacentral:rRNA from 1 species